rnacentral:rRNA from 1 species
CCCUUAGAUGUUCUGGGCCGCACGCGCGCUACACUGAUGCAUUCAACGAGUCUAAAACCUGCUCUGAUAGGGGUGGGUAAUCUUUUGAAUGUGCAUCGUGAUUGGGAUAGAUGAUUGCAAUUUUUCAUCUUCAACGAGGAAUGCCUAGUAAACGCAAGUCAUCAGCUUGCAUUGAUUACGUCCCUGCCCUUUGUACACACCGCCCGUCGCUCCUACCGAUUGAAUGAUCCGAUGAAUAUCAUGGAUUGAGGAUGCAAGUAGGUUCGCCUAUCUUUAUCUUCGAGAAGUGAAGUAAAUCUUAUCAUUUAGAGGAAGGAGAAGUCGUAACA